UUUUUCAAAAGUGUAUUUAAGAAUAAUAAUUUUACCACACUUUGAAAUAAUGGUUAUAUUUUGUUAUUUUAUUGAACAGAAAAAGUAUACUACUUAAAAAUAAAGGUACUAGUUUAAGGCACCAGAUGAUAAUGUUGAUAGAACAUGCCACAAAUAAAGAUAUGAAUGGGGAAUAGGUUAUAUAGGGAAAACUUGAUUUUUCAGUAAGAAUAGGUUAUAUAGAGAAAACUUGAUUUUUCAAUAAGAAUAGGUAGGCAAAUUUGUUUUUUUUCAGUAAGAGAAAAAAAUUGAAGGAUAGAAUUUGUUAAAAUUAAAGGAGAUAAUUGCUUUUCUUAGAUACAUCCAAAAAUAUCAAAUAACAAUGGAAAGGGGGAGGGGGCUUGUUUUGUUGCAAAUCCUCAAAACACAGAUAGUCUAAUUGAAUUAAGUAUAAUCAUCUGACUUUGAUUUUACCAGGAUAUUUUAUUAAAAUUUUAAAUGAAAUUAACCACAAUUAAGUAAGCAACAAUCAAUGAAGCCUUGGUAUAUAGCAUGCUACCAAUGUGUUAUUUUGAAUAAAGGUGAUUGCUAUGCCAGCUUUUAAUUAAUUACCUCAAAACCUUAAUGAUCUUCACUUAAACAUAUCAAGAUCAUAGAAAACAUAAAUUUCUUUGUUAAUUCACU
rnacentral:lncRNA from 1 species